GUGAGGAAUAUUGGUCAAUGGGCGAGAGCCUGAACCAGCCAAGUCGCGUGAAGGAAGAAGGAUCUAUGGUUCGUAAACUUCUUUUGCAGGGGAAUAAAGUGCGGGACGUGUCCUGUUUUGUAUGUACCCUGAGAAUAAGGAUCGGCUAACUCCGUGCCAGCAGCCGCGGUAAUACGGAGGAUCCGAGCGUUAUCCGGAUUUAUUGGGUUUAAAGGGUGCGUAGGUGGUUUGAUAAGUCAGAGGUGAAAGUUUGCAGCUUAACUGUAAAAAUGCCGUUGAAACUGUCGGACUUGAGUGUAAAUGAGGUAGGCGGAAUGCGUGGUGUAGCGGUGAAAUGCAUAGAUAUCACGCAGAACUCCGAUUGCGAAGGCAGCUUACUAAGCUACAACUGACACUGAAGCACGAAAGCGUGGGGAUCAAACAGGAUUAGAAACCCGGGUAGUCC
rnacentral:rRNA from 1 species